AGGGUUUACAAUAUCAGACAGAUGGGAAAUGAGCAGCAAGGAAUAGAAAUAUGGGAUUUCCACAACUUCAAGCAAAGCAUGCCAGAUCAGAAAAAUGCAGGAAACACUGAUGAUGUACUGGCUAUGAUACUUUCAGCUCAUGUUCAAGCAGUUGGUUUCCUCAAUCUCCACAUUCUCUCUCGUACACCAGAGGAUGAUCCAGGGAUAAGUAAAUGCUGCUCCAUCUCUCUGUGACUCCACUGUCAAUUUGUGCCUCUCAUCAGUCUUGGGCGUUUAGAAGUGGUGGAACUUCAUGUGGCUCACAACUUUUGAAACAGUACAUAUUUCACUUCCUCACCGUUUUUUUUUUUUUUAAAUAAAUCCUCUCACUUGUAUUUAUAAUAACA
rnacentral:lncRNA from 1 species